GAGUGGCGAACUGGUGAGUAACACGUGGGAAACCUGCCCAGAAGCGGGGGAUAACACCUGGAAACAGAUGCUAAUACCGCAUAACAACUUGGACCGCAUGGUCCGAGUUUGAAAGAUGGCUUCGGCUAUCACUUUUGGAUGGUCCCGCGGCGUAUUAGCUAGAUGGUGGGGUAACGGCUCACCAUGGCAAUGAUACGUAGCCGACCUGAGAGGGUAAUCGGCCACAUUGGGACUGAGACACGGCCCAAACUCCUACGGGAGGCAGCAGUAGGGAAUCUUCCACAAUGGACGAAAGUCUGAUGGAGCAACGCCGCGUGAGUGAAGAAGGGUUUCGGCUCGUAAAACUCUGUUGUUAAAGAAGAACAUAUCUGAGAGUAACUGUUCAGGUAUUGACGGUAUUUAACCAGAAAGCCACGGCUAACUACGUGCCAGCAGCCGCGGUAAUACGUAGGUGGCAAGCGUUGUCCGGAUUUAUUGGGCGUAAAGCGAGCGCAGGCGGUUUUUUAAGUCUGAUGUGAAAGCCUUCGGCUCAACCGAAGAAGUGCAUCGGAAACUGGGAAACUUGAGUCCAGAAAAGGGCCAGUGAACCUCCAUGUGUAGCGGGGAAAAGGGGUAGAUAUAUGGAAGAACACCAGUGGCGAAGGGGGCUGUUUUGAUCUGUAACUGACGCUGAGGCUCGAAAGUAUGGGUAGCAAACAGGAUUAGAUACCCUGGUAGUCCAUACCGUAAACGAUGAAUGCUAAGUGUUGGAGGGUUUCCGCCCUUCAGUGCUGCAGCUAACGCAUUAAGCAUUCCGCCUGGGGAGUACGGCCGCAAGGCUGAAACUCAAAGGAAUUGACGGGGGCCCGCACAAGCGGUGGAGCAUGUGGUUUAAUUCGAAGCUACGCGAAGAACCUUACCAGGUCUUGACAUACUAUGCAAAUCUAAGAGAUUAGACGUUCCCUUCGGGGACAUGGAUACAGGUGGUGCAUGGUUGUCGUCAGCUCGUGUCGUGAGAUGUUGGGUUAAGUCCCGCAACGAGCGCAACCCUUAUUAUCAGUUGCCAGCAUUAAGUUGGGCACUCUGGUGAGACUGCCGGUGACAAACCGGAGGAAGGUGGGGAUGACGUCAAAUCAUCAUGCCCCUUAUGACCUGGGCUACACACGUGCUACAAUGGAUGGUACAACGAGUUGCGAACUCGCGAGAGUAAGCUAAUCUCUUAAAGCCAUUCUCAGUUCGGAUUGUAGGCUGCAACUCGCCUACAUGAAGUCGGAAUCGCUAGUAAUCGCGGAUCAGCAUGCCGCGGUGAAUACGUUCCCGGGCCUUGUACACACCGCCCGUCACACCAUGAGAGUUUGUAACACCCAAAGUCGGUGGGGUAACCUUUAG
rnacentral:rRNA from 1 species